rnacentral:rRNA from 1 species
AUACGUAGGUGGCAAGCGUUGUCCGGAAUUAUUGGGCGUAAAGCGCGCGCAGGCGGUCCUUUAAGUCUGAUGUGAAAGCCCACGGCUCAACCGUGGAGGGUCAUUGGAAACUGGGGGACUUGAGUGCAGAAGAGGAAAGUGGAAUUCCAAGUGUAGCGGUGAAAUGCGUAGAGAUUUGGAGGAACACCAGUGGCGAAGGCGACUUUCUGGUCUGUAACUGACGCUGAGGCGCGAAAGCGUGGGGAGCAAACAGGAUUAGAUACCCUGGUAGUCCACGCCGUAAACGAUGAGUGCUAAGUGUUAGGGGGUUUCCGCCCCUCAGUGCUGCAGCUAACGCAUUAAGCACUCCGCCUGGGGAGUACGGUCGCAAGACUGAAACUCAAAUGAAUUGACGGGG